rnacentral:rRNA from 1 species
UACGUAGGGGGCAAGCGUUGUCCGGAAUCAUUGGGCGUAAAGAGCGUGUAGGCGGCCCGGUAAGUCCGCUGUGAAAGUCCAGGGCUCAACCCUGGGAUGCCGGUGGAUACUGUCGGGCUCGAGUCCGGAAGAGGAGUGUGGAAUUCCAGGUGUAGCGGUGAAAUGCGUAGAUAUCUGGAGGAACACCGGUGGCGAAGGCGGCAUCCUGGACCAAUAUUGACGCUGAGGAGCGAAAGCUAGGGGAGCAAACGGG